rnacentral:rRNA from 1 species
CGAACGCUGGCGGCGUGCCUAAUACAUGCAAGUAGAACGCUGAAGCUUGGUGCUUGCACCGAGCGGAUGAGUUGCGAACGGGUGAGUAACGCGUAGGUAACCUGCCUGGUAGCGGGGGAUAACUAUUGGAAACGAUAGCUAAUACCGCAUAAGAGUAGAUGUUGCAUGACAUUUGCUUAAAAGGUGCAAUUGCAUCACUACCAGAUGGACCUGCGUUGUAUUAGCUAGUUGGUGAGGUAACGGCUCACCAAGGCAACGAUACAUAGCCGACCUGAGAGGGUGAUCGGCCACACUGGGACUGAGACACGGCCCAGACUCCUACGGGAGGCAGCAGUAGGGAAUCUUCGGCAAUGGACGGAAGUCUGACCGAGCAACGCCGCGUGAGUGAAGAAGGUUUUCGGAUCGUAAAGCUCUGUUGUAAGAGAAGAACGAGUGUGAGAGUGGAAAGUUCACACUGUGACGGUAUCUUACCAGAAAGGGACGGCUAACUACGUG